rnacentral:rRNA from 1 species
AUUGAACGCUGGCGGCAGGCUUAACACAUGCAAGUCGAACGAGUGGCGGACGGGUGAGUAAUGCUUGGGAAUCUGGCUUAUGGAGGGGGAUAACGACGGGAAACGGGCGCUAAUACCGCAUACCAUAGGAUGAGCCCAAGUGGGAUUAGGUAGUUGGUGGGGUAAUGGCCUACCAAGCCGACGAUCUCUAGCUGGUCUGAGAGGAUGACCAGCCACACCGGGACUGAGACACGGCCCGGACUCCUACGGGAGGCAGAAGGGGGGAAUAUUGCGCAAUGGGGGCAACCUGACGCAGCCAUGCCGCGGGAAUGAAGAAGGCCUUCGGGUUGUAAAGUUCUUUCGGUGACGAGGCGUUAAUCACAGAAGAAGCACCGGCUAACUCCGUGCCAGCAGCCGCGGUAAUAC